UACGUAGGGUGCAAGCGUUAAUCGGAAUUACUGGGCGUAAAGCGUGCGCAGGCGGUUAUGUAAGACAGAUGUGAAAUGCCCGGGCUUAACCUGGGAACUGCAUUUGUGACUGCAUGGCUAGAGUUUGGCAGAGGGGGGUAGAAUUCCACGUGUAGCAGUGAAAUGCGUAGAUAUGUGGAGGAACACCGAUGGCGAAGGCAGCCCCCUGGGUCAAGACUGACGCUCAUGCACGAAAGGCGUGGGGAGC
rnacentral:rRNA from 1 species